rnacentral:rRNA from 1 species
UCGGAGUGCCGGCGAGUGGCAAACGGGUGAGUAAUACAUCGGAACAUGCCCAGUAGUGGGGGAUAGCUCGGCGAAAGCCGAAUUAAUACCGCAUACGACCUUCGGGUGAAAGGGGGGGAUCUUCGGACCUCUCGCUAUGGGAGUGGCCGAUGCCUGAUUAGUUUGUUGGUGGGGUAACGGCCUACCAAGACUACGAUCAGUAGCUGGUUUGAGAGGACGAUCAGCCACACUGGGACUGAGACACGGCCCAGACUCCUACGGGAGGCAGCAGUGGGGAAUCUUGGACAAUGGGCGAAAGCCUGAUCCAGCAAUGCCGCGUGUGCGAUGAAGGCUUUCGGGUUGUAAAGCACUUUUAUCAGGGAAGAAAUGGUUCGGGCCAAUACCUCGGACUUCUGACGGUACCUGAAGAAUAAGCACCGGCUAACUACGUGCCAGCAGCCGCGGUAAUACGUAGGGUGCAAGCGUUAAUCGGAAUUACUGGGCGUAAAGCGUGCGCAGGCGGUUUGCUAAGACAGGUGUGAAAUCCCCGGGCUCAACCUGGGAACUGCAUCUGUGACUAGUAGACUAGAGUUUGGCAGAGGGGGGUGGAAUUCCUGGUGU